rnacentral:rRNA from 1 species
AGUGAACGCUGGCGGUAGGCCUAACACAUGCAAGUCGAACGGCAGCACAGUAAGAGCUUGCUCUUACGGGUGGCGAGUGGCGGACGGGUGAGGAAUACAUCGGAAUCUACUUUUUCGUGGGGGUUAACGUAGGGAAACUUACGCUAAUACAGCAUACGACCUACGGGUGAAAGCAGGGGAUCUUCGGACCUUGCGCGAUUGAAUGCGCCGAUGUCGGAUUAGCUAGUUGGCGGGGUAAAGGCCCACCAAGGCGACGAUCGGUAGCUGGUCUGAGUGGAUGAUCGGCCACACUGGAACUGAGACACGGUCCAGACUCCUACGGGAGGCAGCAGUGGGGAAUAUUGGACAAUGGGCGCAAGCCUGAUCCAGCCAUACCGCGUGGGUGAAGAAGGCCUUCGGGUUGUAAAGCCCUUUUGUGGGGAAAGAAAAGCAGCAGGUUAAUACCCCGCUGUUCUGACGGUACCCAAAGAAUAAGCACCGGCUAACUUCGUG